AACAUCGCGCACCUGCGGGAACCUGCGGAAGGAUCAUUACAGAGUUGCAAAACUCCCUAAACCAUUGUGAACGUUACCUAAACCGUUGCUUCGGCGGGCGGCCCGGGUCCUUCCCGGCGCCCAUCGGCCCCCGCGGGCGCCCGCCGGAGGUAAACCAAACUAUUGCAUUGUAUGGCCUCUCUGAGUCUUCUGUACUGAAUAAGUCAAAACUUUCAACAAUGGAUCUCAGAUCGGAAGAGC
rnacentral:misc_RNA from 1 species